GAUGAACGCUGGCGGCGCGCCUAACACAUGCAAGUCGAACGGUUAAAGCACCUUUUAGGUGUGUAUAAAGUGGCGAACGGCUGAGUAACACGUGGGCAACCUGCCCUCCUCUUGGGGAUAGCCUCGGGAAACCGAGGAUAAUACCCGAUACUUCAAUGUGGCCGCAUGACGACAUUGAGAAAGCUUUUGCGGAGAAGGAUGGGCCCGCGGCCUGUUAGCUUGUUGGUGGGGUAGAGGCCUACCAAGGCAAUGAUGGGUAGCUGGGUUGAGAGACCGACCAGCCAGAUUGGGACUGAGACACGGCCUAGACUCCUACGGGAGGCAGCAGUGGGGAAUCUUGCACAGUGGGCGAAAGCCUGAUGCAGCGACGCCGCGUGCGGGACGAAGGCCUUCGGGUUGUAAACCGCUUUCAGCAGGGACGAGGCGAUAAGUGACGGUACCUGCAGAAGAAGCCCCGGCUAACUACGUG
rnacentral:rRNA from 1 species